rnacentral:rRNA from 1 species
GGAGGUCACUGCUAUUGGGAUUCGACUAAGCCAUGCGAGUCGAGAGGGUUCGGCCCUCGGCUGACGGCUCAGUAACACGUGGAUAAUCUGCCCUUAGGCGGAGGAUAACCUCGGGAAACUGAGAAUAAUACUCCAUAGGCCUAGGAUGCUGGAAUGCACUUAGGCUGAAAGUUCCGGCGCCUAAGGAUGAGUCUGCGGACUAUCAGGUCGUAGUCAGGGUAAAGACCUGACUAGCCUACGACGGAUACGGGUUGUGAGAGCAAUAACCCGGAGAUGAUAUCUGAGACACGAUAUCAGGCCCUACGGGGCGCAGCAGGCGCGAAAACUUCACACUGUGCGAAAGCACGAUGAGGGAAUCCCAAGUGCCAGCUCGUAAGAGUUGGCUGUUUUUCUGUCUAAAACACAGAGAGAGUAAGAGCUGGGUAAGACGGGUGCCAGCCGCCGCGGUAAUACCUGCAGCUCGAGUGGUGGCCGCUAUUAUUGGGCCUAAAACGUCCGUAGCCGGUUUAGUAAAUGCCUGGGUAAAUCGUGUAGCUUAACUAUACGAAUUCCGGGUAGACUGCUGAACUUGAGACCGGGAGAGGCUAGAGGUACUCCUGGGGUAGAGGUGAAAUUCUGUAAUCCUAGGGGGACCACCAGUGGCGAAGGCGUCUAGCUAGAACGGAUCUGACGGUGAGGGACGAAGCCCUGGGGCGCGAACCGGAUUAGAUACCCGGGUAGUCCAGGGUGUAAACGCUGCUUGCUUGAUGUUAGUUGGGCUCCGAGCCCAAUUAGUGUCGGAGAGAAGUUGUUAAGCAAGCUGCCUGGGAAAGUACGGUCGCAAGACUGAAACUUAA